GCCGCCGACUGCACCCUGGGAAAUGGAGUCCUUCGGCCGUUGGAGUCUGUCUGGCAGCACAUUUCUCGCCUUCUUCCUUGAAGCUUUUCGUUCCGUUUCCAAAUCGGAUUGCAGCAUGCCCCGCGCCGGUUGGUGUUUCAAGCGUGGGGACCAAACUGGGAGACCAUGGUGUGUUUAAGUCAUGGCUGGUUUGGCGGCGGCCAUCCCCGAGCAAGUGUCUUUAUGGGAACACAGCUGGAAAUACUGUACAGCUGUGGAAAGCAAAGGCACGUAAAUGCUGGCAAAUGGAUUUGGGGACGGUUUCAACAAGGACACGGGUAUAAUUUUGAUAUGCAUCUGGACACAUCUUGUGCAGUGCGAAAACAUUUUGUGGAGCUGGGAAUGUGGUGGUUUAGCAAGGAACAGGGUUAUAGAAAUAGAUGAGGAAAAAUGUCAGUCCUCAACUAUCAUUUGGGAAGGAAGAGGAUCUCAUCCAUUCUUUGCAAUAUCCCUUUUCCUUCUUUCGCCUAUUUUCCUAUCCUUCCCUCCUCCCUCUCUAUUCAUUCUCUUUUCCUCUUCCCUCUGUUAUGUUUUUCUUUUUCAAUUAGGAAAUGUUUGGGAAGUGCUCACAGGUGGGGGUGGAGUGGGCUGCGGAGCUUAGAAUCAACCCUGCAAGGAGUGCACAGAAGGAAGUAGAGUAUUGGGUGUACUUUGGGGUUUGGGGGUUCCUCCAGAUGUGAGAGGGAUGAGCUUUAGUUGGUCCUUUGGAUGGGGGGGCUGGGGGUGUCUUGACUCUUCCUCAUCUUCACCAAGUGGGUCUCUUCAGAGUCUGUGUCCAGUGGGUCCUGACACAGGACUCAGAAUUAGAACCUGGCAUUAAUGUUAAUCAUCUUUGUGCAUAAGCAGAGUGCCUUGCUUUAUUCACCAGAUAACUAUAACAGCCAUACCUAGAAGAGCAGAUAAUUCUUUUGUUUUUUCUUGAACACAAGAACUAUCACCCACACACCCCACCUCCCCCACCCCAGGCCGCUUAUUCCCAGCACUUAUCUGUUGUCUGGGUAGCUUCUAAAACAGAGAUAAAACAGAUGGCUGUAGUGCUCCUCCUCCUGUCUGUGUCUAUUUCAGGAGGGAUGCAGACCUAGAGUCAGAGCAGCCUGAAGAAAUGGAGGACCUUUGUCAAGUCGCUUUGUCAAGUCUCAAGUCAGGAGGAGGAGAAAUUGACACAUUUGCCCAAACCCCAGGAAGCCUGGAACAGGCUAUUGCAGGCCAGCCGAUUAGCAUCAGGGGAAAUCUGAAGCGAGAGGGUAGUAGAUCAUGCCUACGAUUUAUUUAUUUUUUUGAAAACACACGCCCCCUUCAUGUAUUUAUUACUCUUAUAUGUAUGUGUAUGGAGUGUUUAGAUCUUGUAAAAAAAUUGCAGGAGCCAGUCAGUUAGAGGACAAGCCACAUUUACCUGUACAAUGAACCUGGCCCAGACUUUCUUACAUUAUAGUGUGGAGAGUCCAGGCCGGUCAGCCAAAGCCUGCUAUUGUUUGCAUAUCAAGAAUGGCCUCAGAUCUCUCUAGGCAUCCUGUUGACUAGUGUGGAGGAUUAAAGGUAAAGUGUGCCAUCAAGUCGAUUUCAACUCCUGGCGCCCACAGAGCCCUGUGGUUUUCUUUGGUAGAAUACAGGAGGGGUUUACCCUUGCCUCCUCCCACGCAGUAUGAGAUGAUGCCUUUCAGCAUCUUCCUAUAUUGCUUCUGCCCAAUAUAGAUGUUUCCCAUAGUCUGGGAAAAAUACCAGUGGGGAUUUGAACCGGCAACCUUCUGCCAGAGGUGCACCUAGGUAAUUUUGGAGCCUGGACCUAAAGGCCUUUGGAGCCCCCCACCCCCCACAAAUUAAGCAUCAUCAUGCUCAGCUGGGCAAUCACACCACCUGGGACAGACCAAAGGGGAUUUGGUGGCUCCUAGGGGCUGUAGAGGCCCUGGACUUCAGCCUGGAAGUCCAGGGGUAAGAGUGCCUCUGCCUUCUGCUUGUUAGUCAAGUAUUUCCCCACUGCACCACUUAAGGUGGUUAGUGUGGAGGAUUAGAGUUCCUUAAUUUCCAUCCAUAAAAAUUGUUUUGCUACAUUCCAGAUUCACUGGGGAAGAUAAGAAUCUGUUGGGGACACCCUGACCCUAACAUUAAACCCAGAGCCACCAACCCAGAAUUAUACAGAAUCCAGGCCUGUGUCUGACUCCAUUUUAUUAAGGAAUCAAUCAAUGCCUGAAUUCAGAUGAACUGACCAGGGCAUGACACCCAGCUCUCAUGACUGCCUCUGGUAAUUAAUUUGUGAAGGCAGGGGGUAAUCUAGCAUUGUUUAUCAGUGGUUGUGAAACUCACAAGAGACACAAUGGGUCAGGCUUGAUUACCUGUCUCACAGGUAUCCAAAUGCUAAAAAUAACUUGCUCUCAGGUAAUCCCUUUCCUCCACUGACAGGAUGUUUCUGUCUUAGUCAAAUGUAUUGAUUAACCAGCCUCAAACAAGUACCCCUUUUGCUGUUAUUUUAAACAUACUUUUGUUAUAAUUAUACACUAAUUAGAUAUACACAAGAAGUAAUGUAAUUGGUGUAUCACACAGAUAGAUCUAAUUCUUUCACUAACUCCUCUGACUCUUAAUAUACUUGGGACCAAGAGAGGCAAAUUUGCUUUGGAAAUGACACUAAAAUAAUACUCUGCUAACAGGAGAUGGAACUCAAAUCCUGUUUUGACUUAAUAUCCUGAGCUAAUUUUGUUAAUUAAAAGACAAUGGAGAUCAAAAGGAAGAAACAACUAUAAAGAAUUGAGCUCACUGAACAGAGCCAGCAAGCUUUGCCUAACCACUAGAGUUUGCUCAAGAACGAUCCUAGGGUUCACUGCUCCAAGCCGCGGGGCUAAAGCAGGAACUCUUGCUAGGGAGAAGCGACUGUCUGUGACCUCUGCUGUGUAGUGAGAAGUCAAGAUCUCCCCCAGCCAUGCUGCUAUUGCUCCCCACUUCACUCUGAGCAUCUGCCCCCAGCCUGCUUGGCUGCUUGAAGCUUGCAUCGCACCCCAGGUUCCUGUUCUCCAGCACUAGCAUUUCUCUUCCAUCUGAAGCCUGCAUCACUCUCAAGCCCCAGCAAUGAACAAGUCCUUUGAAGCCUUCUUCGUGAACCUGAUAUUCUUUGUCCUCAUAUUCUGAGUGCUGGAUGAACUACUUUUAAAGUGAACAGUGGCUACAGACACUGUCGAGUUCUGUUCUGAAGAAGUGUGUGCGUGUGUGAGAGAUCAAAUGAACGGAAAACAGAUCUCAAGGCUGCAUUUGAGUCCAUCUCCAAAGUCAAGCUUUAGGAUAAGUUGGAAUCAUACUCCAAGUCCAUAGAUCAUCACCUGCUCUACUUAAUUCGCUGCCUCCACACUGACACGACUCUCAAGGGCCUGGCCCUGCUGACCCUACAGGACAAAUUUAAAUUGUCAUGGAAACAGGCCAUCUGGACUAAAGUGGCAUUAUUGGGAUUUUCCCCUCCUAUUCUCUAUGGGCUGUGAUCGGGCGAAAGCAGCUAUCAAGCAGAGGAUAAUGGACAUGGAGAGACAAGCCGAACGAAGCAGGGCCCCAACUUUCUUAACCUCUGCAUGACUCAAAUACAUCUGGAGAUCCCAAGCCACAGAAGGGCCUUUACCCUUGCCUGCUGCAUAUGUCAUAGUGGCUUUAUAAGCUAUGUAGUUUGUAGUUUUAUUGUACCAGUUUUUUUUUAUUAAUAUAUAACACAGUUUUAUUGUAGGGCAGUAAUUGGCUAAUAGUGAUAUAUUAGAUUGUGAUGUAUUUUUAGCAUUUGAUAUUUUUUCCAUGUCCUUGUAUGCUUUUUAUUCUUGUGCUAGUCUGGGACCGUAAUAAAGAUUGAUUGAUUGGAUACCAUAGUCGAUGGUAUCAAGAGUCGCCGAGAGAUCCAACAGAGUCAUACUCCCUCUGCCAAUACCUAGUUGGAGAUCAUCUAUCAGGCCAAUCAAGGCAGUCUCAGCUCCAUAGCUGCCCUGAAAGCCAGUUUGAAAUGGGUCUAGAUAAUCAGUUUCCCUCCAAGACUGUCUGAAGCUGAGAGGCCACAACCCUCUCAAUCAACUUGCCUAAAUACAGGAGAUUAACCAUGGGCCUGUAGUUGCCUAACUCUGAGGGGUCUAAUGCAGGUUUUUUCAAGUAUGGUCUAAUGAUCAGGUUUUUUCAAGUAUGAUCUAAUGACUCCUUAAGGCAAGGAGGCAUCCUGCAUUUAUAAUGUUUAUCAGACUCUCUCCAAUAAUCUGAUUGUUAGAUAAGAUGAGCCAGAUGGGCAGGAGUCAAGAGAACAGGUGAUGGGAUGCACAGUCCGAUGCAGCUGCUUACUCCGAUUUCUAGAUUGUUUAUGAAUAAAUUAAAAAAGCACUGGUCCCAAUAAAGAUUCCUGGAGGAUUCUUACAUCUUUCACAGGGAUAUCAUGACUGGAUCAGAUAAGCACAGGGGGUGUUAAUUUUUAGAAAACACACUGCAGAAAAGAAGAAAUCUAAAGAUCUUUCAUCCUUCUCUGGGAACAGUGGACUCAAAGGCUUCUAUAAUCAUCUGCCACUGAGGCCAAAACAUGUGUUGCAUGUAGUUCCAUGAUCCAUUGCGGGAGGCUCUUCUUCUGUAUGAUUCCAGCCACUAAGUCUGAAAUUAUAAGUUGGAAGACCAGCAUAGGGACCGUGGGCCUUCUAAACCUUUUCCCCAAAUGCUGUUUACUCUGAAAAUUAUAAUGUGGUAGUGACUGACAUUCAGUGCAGCUUUCCACUGGUGUUUUUCUUCCACUGGGGCUGCUGUGCAUGUAAAAUAUAGCAUCAGCAAACUUUUGCAAGAGUGCUGUUGCACAAAUACUUAAAGGAGUCCCCGGGCAGUUGUGCAGUGCAACUUCCACCGGAAACAAAUGAUGGGCAAGAGCAGCCAAAUGUUGAGCCCUGGGGAUGCUGCAGUCCUAAGGCAGCCCUGACACUUUUAAGAAUGGGUUAGCAGCACUUCUGCAGUUUCCCCCAUUGUCACAUAUGGAGGGAGAACUGCAGAAACACUGCUAGUGCAACCACCCAUUCUUGACAGUGUUGGGAUUGCUUUAAGACUCCACAUCAGCCCAGAGACACAGUGUUAUGGCUCCAUAAUGAUGUGCAUUAUGGCAGCCAGUGGAAGGAGCACUGUGCAACUGCCCAGAGACUUUUAAAAGCAUUUUUGUGCAAUUCUGCUGGGACUAGAUUUUACACGUGCAGUAGCCAUGGCAGAAGGGAAACACUUGUGGAAAACUGUGCUGAAAGUCAGCUAUGAUCAACAAAAGCUUGCAAAGCAUUUUACAUAGAAAAAUAAAUAAUAAAUAAAUAAGAUGAUUGCCUGUCUCAAAAGGCUCACAGUCUUAAAAGAAACAUGGUAGACACUAGCAACAGCCACUGGAUAAAUGCUGUGCUGGGGCUGGAGAGGGCCAGUUGCUCUCCCCCUGCUAAAUAUAAGAGAAUCACCACUUUGAAAGGUGCCUCUUUGCUCAGUUAGCAGGGGUUAAGAAUCCAUGUAUGUGAAAGCAUGGUACUUAAACACUUUAUUAUAGAAUCUGUCAUUGUUUUAAAUUGUUUUACUGUUUUAAGUUUGUUUUUAAUCUGUGCUGCUCUUGCCCAUCAUUUGUUUCCGGUGGAAGCUGCACUGCACAACUACCCAGAGACAUGAGUUUGGGGCAGUAUGCAAAUAUGCUAAAUAAAUAAAUUUUCAACAAGCUGUUAAGGCUAAUGGCUAUGUAACAAUAAAAUUUGAUUUAUUC